ACCUGGGUGGCUCAGUCGGUUGAGUGUCUGACUUCAGCUCAGGUCAUGAUCUCACGGUUCGUGAGUUCGAGCCCCACAUCGGGCU
rnacentral:tRNA from 1 species